CUAGAGUUUCCAGUGUGAAGGAUAUGCAUUGAAUCAAUUUUCUAUGUUUUUCAGAAUGAUGGACAAGAAUGCAUAUGGUCUGCAAAUGGAGAAUUUGCUAUUGCUCAAUGAAGUGGCGGCAUGCUCCAAAAUCCUAGUGAGACCUCUGCACCUUUGGUCAGAUCCCAGGCCUAGGAUGUCCAUGUUGUGUGUAUGUACCAACAGCUAAAAUGUAAACACGACAUUAUCAUAGUUGAGUACAUGAAUAAUUAUCUAUUAUAUCUUA